CUCCUUCUUUGAGACCCAAUGCUGUCCUGAAGCUUUUGCCAGGAGGAAUGACUGCCCCUUCAAGGCCAGUUGAUGUGUCAUCGACGAAUUUGCCACGGUCACCCAAUGCUCCUAUGGCUCCGAGCAAAGUGAAAAGGAUGAAGAAUAGAAGAAGUGGUUCUGCUUCGUAAAUGGGAAUUCCAGUCUCUAGAUUCAACUGUGCUAGGAUUCCCUUUCCCGUUAUUGCUUCACCCAACAAGGAU
rnacentral:misc_RNA from 1 species